AACGAACGCUGGCGGCAUGCCUAACACAUGCAAGUCGAACGAGAUCCUUCGGGGUCUAGUGGCGCACGGGUGCGUAACGCUUGGGAAUCUGCCCUUAGGUUCGGAAUAACAGUUAGAAAUGACUGCUAAUACCGGAUGAUGACGUUAAGUCCAAAGAUUUAUCGCCUGAGGAUGAGCCCGCGUAGGAUUAGCUAGUUGGUGUGGUAAAGGCGCACCAAGGCGACGAUCCGUAGCUGGUCUGAGAGGAUGAUCAGCCACACUGGGACUGAGACACGGCCCAGACUCCUACGGGAGGCAGCAGUGGGGAAUAUUGGCCCAUGGGCGCAAGCCUGAUCCAGCAAUGCCGCGUGAGUGAUGAAGGCCUUAGGGUUGUAAAGCUCUUUUACCCGAGAUGAUAAUGACAGUAUCGGGAGAAUAAGCCCCGGCUAACUCCGUG
rnacentral:rRNA from 1 species